rnacentral:rRNA from 1 species
UACGUAGGUGGCAAGCGUUGUCCGGAAUUAUUGGGCGUAAAGCGCGCGCAGGCGGUCCCUUAAGUCUGAUGUGAAAGCCCGCUGCUUAACGGCGGGUUGGCUUCCGGUACGGGCAUCGCUGGAGUGCGGCAGGGGAGACUGGAAUUCCUGGUGUAGCGGUGGAAUGCGCAGAUAUCAGGAGGAACACCGGUGGCGAAGGCGGGUCUCUGGGCCGUUACUGACGCUGAGGAGCGAAAGCGUGGGGAGCGAACAGG